GUGGUCAGGUGGGUUGGUGUGGGUGUUCCUGUAGAGAUGCUUCACAGUCUGCACUAACCAGGGCUGCAAAAUCUAUAUUUAUGUAUCUGUCCACUGACGUGCAAUGGCUACUACGUGGGGCGGUCACUGCCCAGCCCAGAUGUGGUAAGAAAAAUGUGACAAGGUUGCAUGUGCUGUGCGCUUGUGAGAGGAGAACUGUCCUUGAAACCGGGUUCAAACAUGAUUCACCCUCAAAGGAGUCAAAGUCCUAGUUCAGAAAGGCAGAUCCCUGACUUUUGUUCUCUUCAAAACAAGAAUUAAGAUACAUGUGUUGGAAGAAUAGUACUGAAGUCCCCCAAAGUAAAAUGAAUGGAUAUGUUCCCAUUCCUGUGGAAAAUUUUGGAGGUACCUCACAUAAUUUAUAAUUGAUUUUCCACUAAACUGUUGAAGAAUAAUUUUUGCUUCUGUUGCUAAAGUGCAGCACCAGCAAAAAAACCUGCAGAACAUCUUGGCAAAUUCUUCAGAAAUUACCUCUACCUCAAAAACCUGAAAGUAUGAUAUUUUUUUUGUUUGCUUUUAGGUCUUUUCAGUUUUUGGGUUUUUUUUAAUUUGAAAAAGAAAA